UAUAAAAGCGUGCCAUUUUGAGUGUUAAGAGUAACAAUUGACUCUCUACUCCUCUCCAUCAUAAAAGCUUUUUACCAGUUUUACAAAAUCAAUGGCCGGAAAAAGUAAGAUUCUGUUCAUCGGCGGUACUGGCUACAUAGGAAAGUUCAUCGUGGAAGCUAGUGCUAAAGCUGGUCACAAUACAUUUGUCUUCGUCAGAGAAUCCACUCUUUUCGAUCCUACCAAAACCAAACUCAUCGAUACUUUCAAAAGUUUUGGCGUCACUUUCCUCCAUGGAGAUUUAUAUGAUCAUGAGAGUUUGGUGAAGGCGAUAAAGCAAGUGGAUGUUGUGAUCUCUACUGUAGGUCAUGCCCUUUUAGCUGAUCAGGUCAAGAUUAUUGCUGCUAUCAAAGAAGCUGGCAAUGUCAAGAGAUUCUUUCCCUCUGAAUUUGGGAACGAUGUAGAUCGUGUCCAUGCUGUCGAGCCUGCUAAAACAGCAUUUAAUACUAAAGCUCAAAUUCGUCGCGUUGUUGAGGCUGAAGGAAUACCAUUCACUUUUGUGGUCAACUUCUUCUUUUCUGGUUAUUUUCUUCCGAAUUUGGCACAGUCUGGACCUGUAGGUCCUCCUAAAGAUGAAGUCGUCAUCUUAGGAGAUGGCAAUACUAAAGCUGUUUUUACCAAGGAAGAAGACAUUGCUACCUAUACCAUAAAGACUGUCGAUGAUCCAAA
rnacentral:misc_RNA from 1 species